UACGGGAGGCAGCAGUGGGGAAUAUUGCGCAAUGGGCGAAUGCCUGACGCAGCGACGCCGCGUGUGGGAUGAAGGUCUUCGGAUCGUAAACCACUGUCGGGGGGGACGAAGGCCCGGGGUUAACUGCCACCGGGAUUGACGGUACCCUCAAAGGAAGCACCGGCUAACUCUGUGCCAGCAGCCGCGGUAAUACAGAGGGUGCGAGCGUUGUCCGGAAUCACUGGGCGUAAAGGGCGCGUAGGCGGCUUGGUAAGCCGUGUGUGAAAUCCCGGGGCUCAACCCCGGAAUGGCACGCGGGACUGUCAGGCUAGAGCAUGGUAGAGGGGAGUGGAAUUCCUGGUGUAGCGGUGGAAUGCGUAGAGAUCAGGAAGAACACCAGAGGCGAAGGCGGCUCGCUGGGCCAUUGCUGACGCUGAGGCGCGAAAGCGUGGGGAGCAAACAGGAUUAGAUACCCUGGUAGUCCACGCCGUAAACGAUGGACACUAGACGUCGGGGGGAGCGACCCUCCCGGUGUCGUCGCUAACGC
rnacentral:rRNA from 1 species